rnacentral:lncRNA from 1 species
AUGGGAACCGGACACCGGGACCGUGACACCGGGAAUGGGAACGGGGCACCGGGACACCGGGACGGGGAACAGGGCACCGGUACCGGUACACCGGGAAGGCGGCGGCGCUGGAGACGAACACCUUUAUUGGCACCGGCGAGUCCGGUGGAGCCCCGGCAGCACCGGAGGCAGCGGGAUCCUCCCGGAGGGCUCCCGGUAACCGGAUCCAGGGCCAGCCUCGAUCCGUGGGAACGCCGGGAGGCGCCCCCGGCUCCGUGUCCUCACCGGGAAGGAGGAGGGGGCAACCGGGACCCCCGGGACUUCUCACCGGGACAGCGGCGUCGGCGCGGGGGUCAGGGGGAGGCUCUGCCGGGACGGGAGGGACGCGGGUGUGGAUUUUGGGGGGACACGCGUGGGCUGCGGUGGGUUUGGGGGGCACGGGGGGUCCCGCCUUACCGGGGCCGGUACCGUGGGGCUCUGUCCACGCCGCCGCCGGAGGCCUGUGAGGACAGAACCGGUGGCACCGGGGGCCGGGAUACCCCAGCAGGGCGGGGUGGGGGUCCCUGGGCGCUGAACCCCCGGAAUUCCCGGUUCGGAACCCCCGGAAUUCCCGGUUCUGAACCCCCCGGAAUCACCGGCUCAGAACCCCCGGAAUUCCCGGUUCUGAACCCCCGGGAUUCCCGGUUCUCAAUCCCCGGAAUUCCCGGUUCUGAACCCCCGGCAUUCCCGGUUCUGAACCCCCGGGAUUCCCGGUUCUCAACCCCCGGAAUUCCCGGUUCUGAACCCCCGGCAUUCCCGGUUCCGAGCCCUCCUCCCACCUCGCCAGCCCACGGCCGCAGCCCCGAGCAGCAGCAGCAGCCCCGGGACGGCGGCACCGACCGAGACCGGGAGGAGCCAGGAAGGAUCUGGAAGGGAGAGAGAGCGGGGAUCACCGGGAUCCGGUACCGGGAUCCGGUACCGGGAUCAGGAACCGGGAUCCGGCACCGGGACCGUGACAGGUGUCAGCCCGGGGCGGUGCCGGUACCGUUCUGCGGGAUCCCGGUACCGUUUUGCGGGGUCCCGGUGCCGUUCCGCGGGGUCCCGGUACCGUUUUGCGGGAUCCCGGUACCAUUCUGCGGGGUCCCGGUGCCGUUCCGCGGGAUCCCGGUACCGCUCUGCGGGGUCCCGGUGCCGUUCUGCGGGGUCCCGGUGCCGGUGCUCGGUUCGCACUCGGCAUCGCCCAAAUCUGGGGAGAAAAACCCCCGGAUUGGGCUCGGGGGCAGCCCCGGGAUGCGGGACGGGGACUCCCCCCCGCUUCCCCGGUUCCCCGGCACCCACCGGGGCCGCCGGUGGCGGGGCUGGGCUCGGACUCCAGCCAGGCGCUGCCGUUGUGGCUCCGGUACCGGCAGCGGAGGCAGCGGGCGGCUCCGGGCACGGAGAACUCGACCCAGUGGCGGUCGGGAGCGGCGGGGACGCUCCGCACCGGGACCGGCGGGACCCCCCGGAGCAGCUCGAAGGUGCUGCCGGUGA